UCGAAGGGGGCUAGCGUUGCUCGGAAUCACUGGGCGUAAAGCGCCACGUAGGCGGAUUGUUAAGUCAGGGGUGAAAUCCUGGAGCUCAACUCCAGAACUGCCUUUGAUACUGGCGAUCUCGAGUCCGGGAGAGGUGAGUGGAACUGCGAGUGUAGAGGUGAAAUUCGUAGAUAUUCGCAAGAACACCAGUGGCGAAGGCGGCUCACUGGCCCGGUACUGACGCUGAGGUGCGAAAGCGUGGGGAGCAAACAGG
rnacentral:rRNA from 1 species